rnacentral:misc_RNA from 1 species
AAAGGAGAAAGAAGGACACGUCAAACGUCCGCGUGGACAUGAUAGUUAAAAAGUCAAUGUAUGUAGAUAAUAAUUACACAUUGUACAUAUAAGUCUAUCUCUCUCAGGAUCGUGCUCGUGAUCCACAUAAUAAAAUAAAAUAAAAUAAAAAAAGCGAAUGAAUUUUAGUGAGAGGAAAAUAAAAUAGUGACGUGCUUCUGUAACCCGCUUCACCACCUCUUGACACCGUGAUACCCUUCAGUUCCCUCACCCCAAUAAAUGGAAAUAUGUCUACUUUCUCGUAAACUUUGUUCUGCUAUUUAAUUCCACCCAGAUUGUAUUAUCAAAAACCUAUUAAAUCACUUACUAUUGUUCUACAAUCAUUUUUAUUAGUUUUAAAUAUUAAUAACAGUGUUACGUAAUUGGUAAACAAAUAAAAUAUUUAAAAAUAAUGCGUUUAAGCGCAUUUAAAGUUAUCUGAAUAUACACCGGACACAAUUAUUUCAGUUAAAACAUUGAAUAUUAAUUGUGAAGAGUUGUCCGGGUGCUAGCAUGAAUAAUCCGUAUCGAGCAAGAAUCGGUAGACAGCGAGUAGAUCACUCUGCAACUGCAGCAGUCCCAAAUUAUGGAGCCAGAAAUCAGAAUUCUUGGCCUGGGAUGACUGGCAACCAGAGUCAGCCAGUUAUUGGGGGAGCUAAUCAAACAAAUAACGUCGAUAACGACUCUUGGGACUGGAACACAGACAAAGCUGACAAUAACAAUGAUUCUUGGAACUGGAAUAUCGAUCAAUCUGCAGAGCAGACUCAGUUGCACCCUCAACAGCAGCAGCAACAGCAGCCACCACCUGCCCACGGGUCUAAUUAUACAACUAUGAGACCGGCUCAUCAGAAUUUGCCUCAAGACAAUUCAAAUUAUUACACCAACAUUAAUGGAAACAGACAAGUUUUAGCAGGCCAACAUCAAUUGCAGUCAACACAAACUGGAAAUUUACCACCAACUAGAGAAUCAACGCCCAGUCAUUCGGAUUCUUACGCUCAGUUUCCGAAUUUUCCAGCAAAUCAGAGCCAACAAACGCCACCGAGAACUAGCUCGACUAACUCUAGUGUUAGUGACACUCAAAAUCAGGCUCAGUGGCAAACAAACCAGCAGGUGAUUUUUAAUCCUUACGCUCCUCCCAGAGCAUCAUCAUUCGAAGCGACCAAUCAGCAGCAAGCUCAGCAGUUCAAUCCAAAUGCUUACAAUUGGAAUGGCGUAGAGCCGUCUGGAGGUCAGAGUUGGCCGAGUCAAACUACUGAGCCGUUCUGGCAUGAUCAAAACUCCAAUAAACGAGAAGAUUAUCAUGCUGAAUUUGAUAAAAGUAAGCAGCAGGUGCAGGUGCAAGAGCAAUUUAACAAAUCACCACCUCAGAAUCCGGUAAAAGAAAUUCCUGGUCAGUGGCAGGCUGAUAAUCAUGACAAUAAUCAACUGAAAGCACAUAGCCAGGAACCAGUUGCGCCUAAUCAGUGGCGUGAAGAUGCUCAUGAUAGAAGAGUUGAACCUCAAGAUCAAUUUAUCCCAAACCAUCCACGUCAGCCGGAUAAUUUCAACCAAUCGUGGUCGCCGGUUAGUCUUCAGUCAAAUACCAACGUGAAACCCGAAGUGGAUAAAAAAUUGUUGGAUGUUAAUUUGGAUAAUAAUUAUUCUACUCCAACAAGCUUACAAAAUACAGUUGUAGAUCCACGCUCCGAAGAACAAAAUGUUCCUGUUUUCACCUCAAGCCAAACUCCAGUUCUUGAUACUACAAGCAAUUUAUUUACUGGAAUCGAGACUAAAAUUAAUGACAAAGUAGAUCGUCGGAAUAUCGACUUGGUUAAAAAUGACAAUACUAUGAGCGACAUAACGACCAAUGUUAAGCAAUUAAAUAUUGAAGAUAAAGAUUCACAUUCUCAGCACUCAUUUGAAAGCCACCCAUCGCUGUUUCCUGUUCAUUCAAUGGCUCAGCCAGUAGAACAGUGGCCUAAUCAGUCGAUCCAAUCAAUAAACAAACCUCCGGAACCGUCAACUCUGUCUAGUCAGCAUAUUGCUCAAACAGCAGACCACUAUACACCUGUUUCAUUUGCAUCUUCUGAAAGCAGACAUCAAACUUAUGAUCCCACUAGCCCACCAAGUAUUCAAUCUCACGACGUCUCUCCCCAACAGCCAACGAUUCAGUCGCAUGAGUACGCAGUACCUCUAACUUCUGCUCAGUCGUCUUAUUACUACCAAGAAUCGUUUACUAGCCACCAAACGACACCUGUAAUAAACACACCUGAAGCUUCUGGAUCACCAAGUUUGCCACUUCAAAAACCUCCGUACAAUCCUUUAGAAAAUACCAUGCCUUAUCCAGUAAACACUGAAAGUGUACAAGUGCCUAGUGAAGUACCUAAACAAAUGAAUCUUCCUCCUGCUGGUGAAGUUAGAGGUGUACCAACGACUAAAGCUGGCUAUGAUCAAUGGUACAAUCAGAAGACAAGUCCACCGCAGAAUGUCAGGUAUCCAGUCGCUGAAAGAAGUGCUCCUAUGCAGCAGCAAAAAACUUGGAUGCCUACAGAGCCAGUGGAUAAUUACGAAGUUUCUAAAUCAAGUGAAUUUAUUAAUGAUGUUAAGUCUUCAGUGACUGAAUCUGAGUCUCAUGAGCGACAGAAUUCCGUUAAAGAAUCAAGGGAAGAAGAUAAAAGUUUAAUUGUUACCGAGCCUACUAUUAAAAAUUUAAUGGAGCAAUCUGCUCACCCUGCAAAUCAGCAAGUUAAUUCUGUUCAGCAAAUCCAACCAGUAAAUCAACAAAUUCAGCCAAUUAAUCAGCUAAUUCAGUCUCAGCAUGAGCAAGAAAAUUAUGAGUUUGCAUCUAAUGACAGAAACACAUUCCUCGAAACUGGUGAGCUGACAGAUUUGCAUCACGAUCAAGGUGUACCAUCAUCUAAUCACGAUGAAGAAAACGAUGAAGUGCCUGGUGAUAUUCCGUUCUUACGAGAAGUACCGGGUCAAUCAAGCUACGGUGAUCCGCGACGUAACGACCCUACUGGUCAAGAGCAAUACGUACAGUCUACCCGUAAUUUAGAUUCCAGAAGAAACCCUCCAGAGCCGGUUCUAAACACUCAGCCUCGUUCUAUCGCCAUAGCACCAUCCGAUCGUACAGAGCGCCGUGACGUUCCUUCUGGCCAAGAGAGACGAGAAAGCAGACUACUGUCUCGCGAUACAGAGACACCUGAGCGUAGAAACGAUCCUUCGGGAAGAGAAAGAUCAUUUCCGCCUUCGCAGUCACGCAAUGACCCCUCAGGCGAGGAGAGAAUUCAGUCUCAAAGUCAAAUUAAUCUGGAGCCUGCUGAAGUGCGUCAAGUACCUGGUAGCGGAACUAAUUCCGUAGAGCCUCCGCCUUCAGCUGAAGUAGUACGUCAAAUAACUGGCGGUGUGUCCCGUAAUGAGCCGGUUAUUCCAGAAGACAGCAAUGCCAGAAUUGUAACGGGAUCCCAGCAAGUUUUACCAGCAGCCAGUGUGAUGCAAGACCUCCCGUCAAACGAGACUAGAAACAAACGCGAAGAAGCCGUUGGUGCGUCAAUUGAAAAUCCUCCGGCUGUUACUGCUUCUCCAAAACGUCGCGAUUCUUAUCAAGACGGAGAUGAUGAAGAAUCUGGAAACAGUCGCGAUGAUAACCGCGAGAGACGUCGGGAGCCCAGUCCUACUGACAGGCGUCGUUAUGAUUACGAUCCUAAAGGCGACAGGAGUUACUACGAUCGCGAUAGAGAGUAUGAUGAUGUUUAUUACUACGAUAGAAGGCGUGGUCAUGAUUUCGAACGGCCUUACAAUUCAAGGGAAGACUUGGAUCGACGUGAUGCGUCGUUCAGAGAAAGUGAUCGCCGUCAUCUGAGCCGUGAUGACCUGGACGAUCGCAGGAGGCUCAAGGAUGAUGAUAGAAGGGGUCAUAGGAGCGAGGUUGAUCCCAGACAUCGCGAUACCAGAGACUAUGAACCACCGAGGUAUCCCAGAGAUAGGGAUUAUGAUCGCAGGAGAGAUGACCGACAUAGAUAUUAUGGUGAAUAUGAUCCCAGAGAUCCUAGAGAUCCUAGGCGUGAAUUCUAUGAUGAUCCGUAUACUCGCAGCUCUAGACCUUCCAGUAGGUCUUCUUACAAUGACCGAGAACGCGAUUUCUACGGACGGAGAGACCCGUACUAUGGAUACAAUGGCUACAAUACUUAUGAUUUUGGAACUAAUUACAAUAAUAAUUAUUACGCGUACUUAGAAAAUUUACGAAGGACUAAUCCUACUGCUUAUAUGGAGUGGUACAAUAAAUAUUAUGGAAACCAACAACAUAAUAUCAGUACUGUCGGUCGGGUUCCGAGUUAUCCUGAGGACCGAGCUAGUGUUCAUUCGGGAAGAAGUUCCUGUGAUGACAGGACAAACAGUGGAAAACAUACAAUUGGAGAUAUUUCUUUAUUGGAGGAUUCAAGAAUUGUAUCACGACUUACUCCAACUAAAUUUUCAACAUCUCACGUUCAAGGUUCAUUUUCAAUUGGUUCAUUGGUGCAAGUUCAUGCAAGUUAUCCUGCAGAUGGAGAACGUGCUAGAGUUGAUAUUGUUCAAGUAGACAGUUUGUUAAUGCAUGAUCCAAUUACUCGGGAAAUUCGUGCUUAUCCGGGACCAUUGGUCAAGGGUGUUACACACAAGAAGACGAUUAUAGAGUACUGUGAAGCCAAAAUAAAAAAAGCAGCUGUAAACGAUGAACUUAUUGACCAUGCCUCUUAUAUUUUGCUGUACCAGCUGAUGAUUAUGCUUAUUCAGCAGAACGGUAACGUUGUUGGUGUGGAUAUUGCUACGCUCUUGUUGAAAAACAAAGAAAUUUAUCCUUACGACGCGCAUAAAACAAACCACAAACCAAUACGCCGUGAAUCAACAAUUUCACAGCGGUCUGGUGGCGCAGGACGAGAAGGAUCAGUGCAUGAAGAAGUGGCGCAAGAAAUAGAAGAAGUAAAACCAAUGAAGACUGUCGAGCAGAUAACAAAUGAAUUUAGAAACACUUUGCUGUGUGGUCUAGUUCAAGAAGCUUUGGAGUACGCGAUGACUGAAGGUCUGUGGGGUCAUGCACUGUUCCUCGCGAGUAAACUAGACAAACGUACACAUGCAUCUGUCAUGACCCGCUUCGCCAAUAGUUUACCGGUUCAAGAUCCUCUUCAGACUUUGUACCAACUUCACUCGGGUCGAGUACCAGCGAGUGUAACUUGUGUGGCUGACAGUAAGUGGGACGACUGGCGCCCACACUUGGCCAUGAUUAUAUCAAACACAUCAGCUAAUCCGGAAAUAAAUCGCCGUGCGAUAUCAACUCUCGGUGAUACACUUACAGCGCGUGGUGAUAUUCAUGGCGCGCAUUUCUGUUACAUACUAGCGCAAAUUGAUUUUGGAAUUUAUGCAACACCUGGUGUUAAGCUCGUGUUAAUUGGGUCAAAUCACCACAAAUCUUACGCUGAAUUUGCCACUCUCGAAGCGGUAAUGCUCACGGAAAUUUACGAGUAUGCACGGAAUUUAAGCGAGCCAGGUUUUACAAUCAUAGGACUGCAAACAUUUAAAUUUGAAAUUGCUCAAAAAAUGGUUGACUAUGGGCUGAUUGAAAAAGCAUUGCUCUAUCUAGAACAAAUAGCAAUUAACAUUGUGCAAGAGCCUUCAAAAUACAAGGCAUCGUUCAUCCAAAAUGUUUACACAUUGAGCGAGAGGAUAAAAUUCCAUGAUCCAGUUUUCAAAGACUGCAUUGAAGACGUCGCUACGCUGGCUUGGCUCAAUAAUUUGAGUGAUAUUGUGGGUCGUUGCCAGACAGGCGAAAUUGUUCAAGAAUCAAAUUUUACCGCUCGCACAGAUGCGCCGAGUGUCAUGCAGGAUCACGAGCAGCGUGACACUCAGCAAUGGAAUUAUCAGCAGGAUUAUUCAAACGCUCCGGUCUCUAUGAUGGAGGUUCCUACUGUUGAUACUAAUCAAGACACAUGGCAACCUAUGUCUCUCCCUAAUACCUUGCAAGAGCCUUAUGUUACUGAGCAAAAUAUUCAGUAUGGACAGAAUGUCGAUGGCAAUCAGUAUCAUCAGCAGCAGCAGCAGCAGCAACAGCAGCAGCAGCAACAGCAGCAGGAACAACCGCAAGAAUAUUGGAAUCAGCAGACUUACAAUCAAAAUUAUUCGAGGGAUUAUAACUCUGAUUGGCAACAACCGUCCAAUCAAAUGCAGUAUCACGGUGAACAAAAUGAUGUUGAUUCUGCUCAAGUUCCUGGAUGGAAUUACGAGUCUGAUAAGGAGGAAAAACCACCAACACCUGAAUCGCAGCCCCAGCCGCAGAUUUCUAUGAGUCCGUCGACUAAGCAGUACGAUCCUUUGGAGGAACUGGACACCCUGGACCCGAGUGACCACGGAAAAUCCACUGGUGAUAAUAAGAAGCAAGACAAGCAGCCGGAGAAAAAGAAUCCGAAUUCUGGCGGGUCCUGGUUCGGAGGACUCUUCAGUAAACUUACGCCUAAGCCCAAAAAUCAGAUGAUCUUGCCGGAUGAUAGCAAUCCGACGAUUGUCUGGGACCCAGUUGCCAAAAAGUGGAGUAACAAAGACGAGGAUGGAGAUAGCGGCUCCUCCCGGUUGGCUCCACCGCCAAGAAUGACAGAGAUGAAUUUAUCUACGCCAGCUGUCGAACAAAGUCAAAAACCACCACCAAUUCCUGAACAAACUAACUCUUCUCAUCAAAGUCAGCGUAGCUUAGAUAAUUCGACCCCCAAUUCAUCGAAAAUGAUCACCGGAAGCAACAAUAUGUUCAAGUUACAAAAGUCUAGAAGCAUGCGUGCUAAUUAUAUUGAUGUAAUGAAUCUUGGAGGAGUUAAGAGCAAUGGACCACCGUCUAAUCUUCCGACACCUGCGAAUUCGCCUAUGAUGCCUAUGGCUGCUUCGUCGCCUCAACUUUUUGUCCCAGCACCAGUAAAUGAUCCAAAUGCACCAGUAGAUUUUUUAACGCCAGCCCCGGCCCCAAUUCCUCAAAAUGAAUCAGCGAGCCAAGGUUCGGGGAACCAGAAUGACCUAGCCAAAUAACAAUUGUUAUAAAUACUCUCUCGGUGGAGCUCGACUAGCUCAUUAUCUCGCGAGGUACAGAGCUACACAAUGAGGGAUCCGCGUCUUCAGCAACGGAUCAAGGGACCAAUGAUGUACAAUCCGGCAA